UACAGAGGUCUCAAGCGUUGUUCGGAUUCAUUGGGCGUAAAGGGUGCGUAGGCGGCGCGGUAAGUCGGGUGUGAAAUCUCGGGGCUUAACUCCGAAACUGCAUUCGAUACUGCCGUGAUUGAGGACUGGAGAGGAGACUGGAAUUCAUGGUGUAGCAGUGAAAUGCGUAGAGAUCAUGAGGAAGACCAGUGGCGAAGGCGGGUCUCUGGACAGUUCCUGACACUGAGACACGAAGGCCAGGGGAGCAAACGGG
rnacentral:rRNA from 1 species